rnacentral:rRNA from 1 species
GACGAACGCUGGCGGCGUGCCUAAUACAUGCAAGUAGAACGCUGAAGGAGGAGCUUGCUUCUCUGGAUGAGUUGCGAACGGGUGAGUAACGCGUAGGUAACCUGCCUGGUAGCGGGGGAUAACUAUUGGAAACGAUAGCUAAUACCGCAUAAUAGUAGAUGUUGCAUGACAUUUGCUUAAAAGGUGCAAUUGCAUCACUACCAGAUGGACCUGCGUUGUAUUAGCUAGUUGGUGAGGUAACGGCUCACCAAGGCGACGAUACAUAGCCGACCUGAGAGGGUGAUCGGCCACACUGGGACUGAGACACGGCCCAGACUCCUACGGGAGGCAGCAGUAGGGAAUCUUCGGCAAAGGACGGAAGUCUGACCGAGCAACGCCGCGUGAGUGAAGAAGGUUUUCGGAUCGUAAAGCUCUGUUGUAAGAGAAGAACGAGUGUGAGAGUGGAAAGUUCACACUGUGACGGUAUCUUACCAGAAAGGGACGGCUAACUACGU